UACAGAGGUGGCAAGCGUUGUUCGGAAUUACUGGGCGUAAAGGGCGCGUAGGCGGCCUUGUAAGUCUCGUGUGAAAGCCCUCGGCUUAACUGAGGAUCUGCACGGGAUACUGCGAGGCUUGAGUUCGGGAGAGGAAAGCGGAAUUCCGGGUGUAGCGGUGAAAUGCGUAGAUAUCCGGAGGAACACCAGUGGCGAAGGCGGCUUUCUGGACCGAAACUGACGCUGAUGCGCGAAAGCUAGGGGAGCAAACGGG
rnacentral:rRNA from 1 species